CCAUCCAAUGGUCGGCGAGGUGGCGGAUCUUUUUCCAGUAUCCGCCGGCCGACGGGUUGACCUAUAUUGUCUGGAAAAAAGUAAGCGAUUUUAUAGCUAUUGCAUUCCGACCGGUGGGGUCCAAACUGAGCUUUGCUAACCGUGGUCUGAACGAGAAAACAACCCGUAGCACCAAGCACCACGGUCCACGACGCCGGCGGCACACCGCCACCGCUCGAAAUCCCAGCAAGGUAGCCAGUGCCCCAAAUAAAUCGUCUCAACUAAAUCAGCGGCUUGGGCGCGAUGCUUGCGCUCAGAUCGGGUAUACUCUCGUCAGAUCAUGCCCAACUCCUUGUGCAGGACUCGGCUCACCACCUGCUCGACGGAAUGCCUGGCUGGGCACGCCGCAUAAUAUUCAUUUAGUGGAUCAAGAUUUCCUCUCACUGUGCCCUCAAACAUGGUUGGAUCCUGUGGGAUGAUGCUAAGUCUGCCUCGUAAAUCAUGCAACCCAAUUUUGCUGAGAUCAACAUUAUCAAUUUCAAUUGUCCCUUGUCUUGGUUCAACAAUCCGGAAAAGCGCUUGAAUCAAAGUUGACUUUCCACUGCCAGUUACAGAUGACAACUGCCCGUUGAGGUUCAGUGCAUAAGUCACUGCAAGUCCCGCAAUGCCUGUGCAUUCAAUUAUGUCAGUUUCACAGCCACCAAAAAUUAGUGAUCAGAGUAUAGACUACAAAAACGAAUCAACUAUAACUUGUCUGCAUGAAAAACUUACUUGGAUUUAUAAAACCUUCGGGAAGACUCACCAACAGAGUCAAAGAAAAGGCAAAGACAAAGUUAGAUAGCAUGUUUAGCCUGAAGCAAAGCCACUCCACAGCCGAGACGUUAUGGAACCAUGGUCGUAAGUGGUUGUUAACAAGACUGAUGUUUGCUUUGCUGAAGCGGUCUUUCCGUCCAUAUGCUCUAAUACUUGCCGCUCCUGUAAGUGAUUCCGCAGAAUGGUGGAGUAUUGGAGCCCUUUGAAUUUGUUGUAGACGAGCCAGCUCUCUUGCUGUUGGUAUGUAGUACCGCUGCAUGUCAUAGGGAGAAUAUUGGAUUCAGUGCUUUGUGGAAAAUCAUCAAGGAGGAAAUAUGCACUAAUGGCUUCCUGGAAAACAACGCGUACGGAAAUAACUUGAUGCAUACAUUGUACUUGGAUGAGUUAAAUCUAGUGCAAAAAUAUCACUGCAAGGAGCUCUUACUUGAAACACAUAACAGAUUGCUGUCACUGGAAUAAAGAUGACAAAAACUGGCCACGCAACCUGUGACAUAAUGCCAAUGGUCCCCAGAAUUUGUAUAACAGAAAACGCGCACCAACCAAGGCUGUCUGCCAUUUUCAGAUCUAAGACACUUUGGUCAUUGGAGACCUGUUACAAAGUACAGUACAUAAUUAGUAAUUUCAAGGAGACAGUGUAAAAAAAAGAGGGAAAUAGCAGGACUAGCCAGUGCAAAAUGAUGUGAGGAGUAAUCGAACACCAACCCUGUUUAGGAUCCUGCCAGUGGGUG